GACGAACGCUGGCGGCGCGCUUAACACAUGCAAGUCGAGCGAGAACCAGCCCUUCGGGGCUGGGGAAAGCGGCGAACGGGUGAGUAACACGUGGGUAAUCUGCCCUCGGCACCGGAAUAGCCCGGGGAAACCCGGAUUAAUGCCGGAUGGCCUCUCCGCCCUUCGGGGCGGUGAGAAAAGGUAGCUUCGGCCUCCGGCCGAGGAUGAGCCCGCGGCCGAUUAGCUGGUUGGGGAGGUAACGGCACAACAAGGCGACGAUCGGUAGCUGGUCAGAGAGGACGGUCAGCCACAAUGGGACGUAGACACGGCCCAGACUCCUACGGGAGGCAGCAGUGGGGAAUCUUGCGCAAUGGGCGAAAGCCUGACGCAGCGACGCCGCGUGCGGGAAGAAGGCCUUCGGGUCGUAAAGCUCUGUUGUCAGAGAAGAACAAGUACCGGAGUAACUGCCGGUACCUUGACGGUACCUGACCAGAAAGCCACGGCUAACUACGUGCCAGCCGCCGCCGUAACAC
rnacentral:rRNA from 1 species